rnacentral:rRNA from 1 species
UCUUGACAUCCAGAGAACUUAGCAGAGAUGCUUUGGUGCCUUCGGGAACUCUGAGACAGGUGCUGCAUGGCUGUCGUCAGCUCGUGUUGUGAAAUGUUGGGUUAAGUCCCGCAACGAGCGCAACCCUUAUCCUUUGUUGCCAGCGGUCCGGCCGGGAACUCAAAGGAGACUGCCAGUGAUAAACUGGAGGAAGGUGGGGAUGACGUCAAGUCAUCAUGGCCCUUACGAGUAGGGCUACACACGUGCUACAAUGGCGCAUACAAAGAGAAGCGACCUCGCGAGAGCAAGCGGACCUCAUAAAGUGCGUCGUAGUCCGGAUUGGAGUCUGCAACUCGACUCCAUGAAGUCGGAAUCGCUAGUAAUCGUGGAUCAGAAUGCCACGGUGAAUACGUUCCCGGGCCUUGUACACACCGCCCGUCACACCAUGGGAGUGGGUUGCAAAAGAAGUAGGUAGCUUAACCUUCGGGAGGGCGCUACCAACUUGUUUUAU